AUUAAAAAUUUAUUAUUAUAUGUUUAUUUUUUUUUGUUUAAUAAAAAUAAUUUUAUUAAUUUAUUUUUUAAGUAUAUUUUAUAGAAAAAAUUUUGUUAAUUAUAGUUUAUUUGUAUUGUAAAAGAUAAUUGAAAUAAUCUAUAAAUUAUUUAAAAGUAGAAUUUAGUUUUUGUACCUUGUGUAUCAGGGUUUAUUAAAUAAAUAUUAAUUAUUUUAAUUUUCUCGAUUUUAAGAGAGCUAAUAAAAUAUUUUUUUUAUUGUAAAAAAACUAUUUAAAAUAUUUUAUUGGUAAUGAAACGUUAUUCGUUCUUAAAAAUAUCUAGUUUAUUUAGAAAUGAAUUUAAUUCAAAUAUUUUAAUUUUAAUAAGUUAAUUUAUUAAUUUAUUAAAUUUUAAUAUUAAUAAUUAAAGGGAUGAGCUUUUAAUUAAAAAUUUAUAAGUUAAGUAAUAAUUUUAAAAAAUGUAAGUUUAGAAAUAUCUAUCAAUAAUAAUUUGUUAUAAUUAAUUUAAUAUUAAAAUAUUAUUUUAUAUAACUUUAAAUUUUUUAUAAAUAAAUAAUUUUUAAUGUUCUAAAAUUAGAUAUAAUGAUAGAAUUAGUAUAUAUUUUAAAUAUUUAAAUAAUAAUAUAAAAAAGAUUAUUUAAAGGAAUUCGGCAAAAAUUUUACUCGCCUGUUUAACAAAAACAUGUCUUUUUGAUAUAUAUAUAUAAAGUCUAGUCUGCCCACUGAAAUUUUUAAAUGGCCGCAGUAUUUUGACUGUGCAAAGGUAGCAUAAUCAUUAGUUUUUUAAUUAAAAGCUCGUAUGAAAGGCUGGACGAAGUAAAAUCUGUCUCUAUUUAAUUUAAAUUAGAAUUUAAUUUUUAAGUCAAAAAGCUUAAAUAUUAAUAAAAGACGAGAAGACCCUAUAGAGCUUUAUAAUUUAUUUAAUAUAAUUAAUUAAGAUUAAUUUAGGUUUUAUUAAUAUAAUUAUUUUAUUGGGGUAAUAGGAAGAUUAAAUAAAUUCUUUUUUUUUAUUUACAUUAAUGUAUGAAAUAAAUGAUCCAUUUUUAAUGAUUAUAAGAUUAAGUUACCUUAGGGAUAACAGCGUAAUUUUUUUAGAGAGUUCAUAUCGAUAAAAAAGUUUGCGACCUCGAUGUUGGAUUAAAGAUUAGUUUAGGUGUAGAAGUUUAAAUUUUUGGUCUGUUCGACCAUUAAAUCUUUACAUGAUCUGAGUUCAGACCGGCGUAAGCCAGGUCGGUUUCUAUCUUUAUUUAAUUAAAAUAUUUUAGUACGAAAGGACCAAAUAUUUAAUAUAUUUAUAUUUAUAUU
rnacentral:rRNA from 1 species